UAAAAGUUUGGUUCUAGCUUAAAAUUUAACUCUGUUUUGGCUACCACAUGUAAGUUUAACAACAAACCAGCAAAAAUUUCAACAAACUUAACAAAAAUUUGUUUAAAAAUAGAAAAGUUCCCGAACCUACCUAACCAAACAAUUGCGAUCCUCAGUGUUUAACCUUAUACAAUCUAAGAAAUUAGGAUAUAGCCAAAAACUAAAAAGGCGGUAAAUAACGUGCCAGCAACCGCGGUUACACGUUAGCCUUAAAUUAAAUAACUCCGGGAGAUAAAAGAAAAUUUAAAAAUUUUAUAGAAAAAGAACAGCAGUAACAAGCUUAAAAAAACCUAAUAUAAAAUAUGUUUCUCCUAAAAAAGAAAAGAAAUAAACUGGGAUUAGAAACCCCACUAUACUUUUCCCCUUAAAAACACCAGAGUAUUAUAAAUCUAAAAAUUGAAACUUAAAGAACUUGGCGGUUUUCUAAACCUUUUUGGAGGAGCUUGUCAUCUAAUUGAUACCCCGCAAGAAACCUCACCAGUUUUUGAAACAGCCUGUAUACCAUCGUCGCCAGCUUACCUUAAAGAACGUAAGCAAAAAGAAAUAAUUCCAAACGCCAGAUCAAGGUGCAGCCUAUAAACUGGGGAUAGAUGAGCUACCCUAAUUUCCAACUAGAGGAUUUUAUCCUGAAAAAGAUAAAGGAAAAAGGAUUCAACAGUAAUUUCCUAAAGAAACAUAAAAAUGAAACAAGCCCUAGAAUGCGUACACAUCGCCCGUCACUCUCAUCAAAAGAAGAGAAAAGUCGUAACAUAGUAGAUGUACCGGAAGGUGCCUCUAGAAAAUU
rnacentral:ncRNA from 1 species